rnacentral:tRNA from 1 species
GUCUGAAUAAAAACGCGAAGCGUGGGACUUAAAAUCCUGCGGUAGCGAUACCGUACCGGUUCGAUUCCGGUUUCGCGCACCA